AUUGAACGCUGGCGGCAGGCCUAACACAUGCAAGUCGAGCGGAGCGGCGGACGGGCGAGUAAUGCAUAGGAAUCUGCCUGGUAGUGGGGGAUAACGUCCGGACACGGGCGCGAAUACCGCAUACUAUCAGCUGAGCCUAGGGUGGAUGAGCUAGUUGGUUGGGUAAAGGCCUACCAAGGCGACGAUCCCUAGCUGGUCUGAGAGGCUGACCAGCAACACUGGAACUGAGACACGGUCCAGACUCCUACGGGAGGCAGCAGUGGGGAAUAGUGCGCAAUGGGCGCAAGCCUGAUGGAGCAACGCCGCGUGUGUGAAGAAGGCCUUCGGGUUGUAAAGUACUUUCAUCGGGGAGGCGUUACCCGCAGAAGAAGCCCCGGCUAACUCCGUGCCAGCAGCCGCGGUAAUAC
rnacentral:rRNA from 1 species